UACGUAGGCAGCAAGCGUUGUUCGGAGUUACUGGGCGUAAAGGGUGUGUAGGCGGUUGUUUAAGUUUGGUGUGAAAUCUCCCGGCUCAACUGGGAGGGUGCGCCGAAUACUGAAUGACUUGGAGUGCGGGAGAGGAAAGUGGAAUUCCUGGUGUAGCGGUGAAAUGCGCAGAUAUCAGGAAGAACACCCGUGGCGAAGGCGGCUCUCUGGGACGGUACUGACGCUGAGACGCGAAAGCGUGGGGAGCGAACAGG
rnacentral:rRNA from 1 species